AAGUCGUAACAAGGUUUCCGUAGGUGAACCUGCGGAAGGAUCAUUAUUGAAUAAACUUGAUGUGGUUGUAGCUGACUCUCACAAGGAGUAUGUGCUCGCCCAUCACCUUUAUCUUUCCACCUGUGCACUUUUUGUAGAUUUGGAUGUAGCUUUCCGAGGCAACUCGGUUGGGAGGAAUGUCAUUCGUGGCUUUCCUUGUAAUAUGUUCAAGUCUAUGUUUUCAUAUACUCCAAAAAGUGUAACAGAAUGUAUCAUUGGGGCCUUUUGUGCCUAUAAACUUUAUACAA
rnacentral:misc_RNA from 1 species